rnacentral:rRNA from 1 species
UACAGAGGGGGCAAGCGUUGUUCGGAAUUACUGGGCGUAAAGGGCGCGUAGGCGGCCUGCUAAGUCGAACGUGAAAUCCCUGGGCUCAACCCAGGAACUGCGUCCGAUACUGGUUGGCUUGAAUCCGGGAGAGGGACGUGGAAUUCCAGGUGUAGCGGUGAAAUGCGUAGAUAUCGGGAGGAACAUCAGUGGCGAAGGCGGCUACCUGGCCCAAUACUGACACUCAGGUGCGACAGCGUGGGGAGCAAACAGG